ACAGAAAUGUCACUGUUCACAGCUCCCUCCAACCUAUUUGUGUUUGAGGGGAAUGAAUAUAUAUAUAUAUAUAUAUAUAUUCAUUCCCCUCAAACACAAAUAGGUUGGAGGGAGCUGUGAACAGUGACAUAUAUAU